rnacentral:rRNA from 1 species
CGUACCUACGGGGGGCAGCAGUGAGGAAUAUUGGUCAAUGGGCGGGAGCCUGAACCAGCCAAGCCGCGUGAGGGAAGAAGGUACAGCGUAUCGUAAACCUCUUUUGUCAGGGAACAAAGGCGGGGACUAGUCCCCGGAUGAGGGUACCUGAAGAAAAAGCAUCGGCUAACUCCGUGCCAGCAGCCGCGAUAAUACGGAGGGGGCGGGCGUUAAUCGGAAUUACUGGGCGUAAAGCGCUCGUAGGCGGUAUGUCAAGUC